GCUGGGUGUGGUGAGCACGCCUGUCAUCCCAGUGACUCGGGAGGCUGAGGCAGGAGGAUCACAAGGUGGAGGCCAGCCUCAGCAACUCAGCGAGGCUCUAAGCAACUCAGUGAGACCCUGUCUCUA
rnacentral:sRNA from 1 species